rnacentral:rRNA from 1 species
UGGCGGACGGGUGAGUAACGCGUAGGAAUCUACCUUGCAGUGGGGGACAACCCGGGGAAACUCGGGCUAAUACCGCAUACGAUUUGAGGAUGAAAGCGGGUCUUUCGGGGCACGCGCUGUGGGAUGAGCCUGCGCCCGAUUAGCUUGUUGGUGGGGUAAAGGCCUACCAAGGCGACGAUCGGUAGCUGUUCUGGGAGGAUGAUCAGCCACACUGGAACUGAGACAUGGUCCAGACUCCUACGGGAGGCAGCAGUGGGGAAUAUUGCGCAAUGGGGGAAACCCUGACGCAGCAACGCCGCGUGAGUGAUGAAGGCCCUCGGGUCGUAAAGCUCUGUCAGGUGGGAAGAACAGGGAAAUUCCCAAUAAGGAUUUCCUUUGACGGUACCACCAGAGGAAGCACCGGCUAACUCCGUGCCAGCAGCCGCGGUAAUACGGAGGGUGCAAGCGUUGUUCGGAAUUACUGGGCGUAAAGCGCGUGUAGGCGGCCUGUUAAGUCAGAUGUGAAAGCCCUCGGCUCAACCGAGGAACUGCAUUUGAAACUGGCGGGCUUGAGUACGGGAGAGGAGAGUGGAAUUCCCGGUGUAGAGGUGAAAUUCGUAGAUAUCGGGAAGAACACCGGUGGCGAAGGCGGCUCUCUGGACCGAUACUGACGCUGAGACGCGAAAGCGUGGGGAGCAAACAGGAUUAGAUACCCUGGUAGUCCACGCUGUAAACGAUGGGCACUAGGUGUGGAGGGUAUUGACCCCUUCUGUGCCGGAGCUAACGCAUUAAGUGCCCCGCCUGGGAAGUACGGCCGCAAGGCUAAAACUCAAAGGAAUUGANNG